UUCCGCCGCGCUCGGUGCCGCCAUGGGGCCGCGGCGGCGACGGCGGCCGAGGGGCCGGAGGAGCAGUACGUGCUGGGGCAGGAGGAGCAGGAAAGAAGAAAAGGAAGCGUGCGGAAGAAGGGGAGAAAGUGUCAGAAGACCAGAGCUUAUCCAAACAUACAAGAAACUCCCAGUAAAAGCAAAGAAGGCCAGAAAAAAGGAGCGUUCAGGGCAGA